rnacentral:rRNA from 1 species
UACGUAGGGGGCAAGCGUUGUCCGGAAUUAUUGGGCGUAAAGCGCGCGCAGGCGGUCAGUUAAGUUGGGUGUUUAAGCCCGGGGCUCAACCCCGGUACGCAUCCAAAACUGGUUGACUUGAGUUUAGGAGAGGAAAGUGGAAUUCCACGUGUAGCGGUGAAAUGCGUAGAGAUGUGGAGGAACACCAGUGGCGAAGGCGACUUUCUGGCCUAUAACUGACGCUGAGGCGCGAAAGCGUGGGGAGCAAACAGG